CGUUUGACUUAUAAAAAUGGUGGAAACAUAGAUUAAGUUAUUAAGGGCGCACGGUGGAUGCCUUGGCACUAGAAGCCGAUGAAGGACGUUACUAACGACGAUAUGCUUUGGGGAGCUGUAAGUAAGCUUUGAUCCAGAGAUUUCCGAAUGGGGAAACCCAGCAUGAGUUAUGUCAUGUUAUCGAUAUGUGAAUACAUAGCAUAUCAGAAGGCACACCCGGAGAACUGAAACAUCUUAGUACCCGGAGGAAGAGAAAGAAAAUUCGAUUCCCUUAGUAGCGGCGAGCGAAAUGGGAAGAGCCCAAACCAACAAGCUUGCUUGUUGGGGUUGUAGGACACUCUAUACGGAGUUACAAAGGACGACAUUAGACGAAUCAUCUGGAAAGAUGAAUCAAAGAAGGUAAUAAUCCUGUAGUCGAAAAUGUUGUCUCUCUUGAGUGGAUCCUGAGUACGACGGAGCACGUGAAAUUCCGUCGGAAUCUGGGAGGACCAUCUCCUAAGGCUAAAUACUCUCUAGUGACCGAUAGUGAACCAGUACCGUGAGGGAAAGGUGAAAAGCACCCCGGAAGGGGAGUGAAAUAGAACCUGAAACCGUGUGCUUACAAGUAGUCAGAGCCCGUUAAUGGGUGAUGGCGUGCCUUUUGUAGAAUGAACCGGCGAGUUACGAUUUGAUGCAAGGUUAAGCAGUAAAUGUGGAGCCGUAGCGAAAGCGAGUCUGAAUAGGGCGUUUAGUAUUUGGUCGUAGACCCGAAACCAGGUGAUCUACCCUUGGUCAGGUUGAAGUUCAGGUAACACUGAAUGGAGGACCGAACCGACUUACGUUGAAAAGUGAGCGGAUGAACUGAGGGUAGCGGAGAAAUUCCAAUCGAACCUGGAGAUAGCUGGUUCUCUCCGAAAUAGCUUUAGGGCUAGCCUCAAGUGAUGAUUAUUGGAGGUAGAGCACUGUUUGGACGAGGGGCCCCUCUCGGGUUACCGAAUUCAGACAAACUCCGAAUGCCAAUUAAUUUAACUUGGGAGUCAGAACAUGGGUGAUAAGGUCCGUGUUCGAAAGGGAAACAGCCCAGACCACCAGCUAAGGUCCCAAAAUAUAUGUUAAGUGGAAAAGGAUGUGGCGUUGCCCAGACAACUAGGAUGUUGGCUUAGAAGCAGCCAUCAUUUAAAGAGUGCGUAAUAGCUCACUAGUCGAGUGACACUGCGCCGAAAAUGUACCGGGGCUAAACAUAUUACCGAAGCUGUGGAUUGUCCUUUGGACAAUGGUAGGAGAGCGUUCUAAGGGCGUUGAAGCAUGAUCGUAAGGACAUGUGGAGCGCUUAGAAGUGAGAAUGCCGGUGUGAGUAGCGAAAGACGGGUGAGAAUCCCGUCCACCGAUUGACUAAGGUUUCCAGAGGAAGGCUCGUCCGCUCUGGGUUAGUCGGGUCCUAAGCUGAGGCCGACAGGCGUAGGCGAUGGAUAACAGGUUGAUAUUCCUGUACCACCUAUAAUCGUUUUAAUCGAUGGGGGGACGCAGUAGGAUAGGCGAAGCGUGCGAUUGGAUUGCACGUCUAAGCAGUAAGGCUGAGUAUUAGGCAAAUCCGGUACUCGUUAAGGCUGAGCUGUGAUGGGGAGAAGACAUUGUGUCUUCGAGUCGUUGAUUUCACACUGCCGAGAAAAGCCUCUAGAUAGAAAAUAGGUGCCCGUACCGCAAACCGACACAGGUAGUCAAGAUGAGAAUUCUAAGGUGAGCGAGCGAACUCUCGUUAAGGAACUCGGCAAAAUGACCCCGUAACUUCGGGAGAAGGGGUGCUCUUUAGGGUUAACGCCCAGAAGAGCCGCAGUGAAUAGGCCCAAGCGACUGUUUAUCAAAAACACAGGUCUCUGCUAAACCGUAAGGUGAUGUAUAGGGGCUGACGCCUGCCCGGUGCUGGAAGGUUAAGAGGAGUGGUUAGCUUCUGCGAAGCUACGAAUCGAAGCCCCAGUAAACGGCGGCCGUAACUAUAACGGUCCUAAGGUAGCGAAAUUCCUUGUCGGGUAAGUUCCGACCCGCACGAAAGGCGUAACGAUUUGGGCACUGUCUCAACGAGAGACUCGGUGAAAUCAUAGUACCUGUGAAGAUGCAGGUUACCCGCGACAGGACGGAAAGACCCCGUGGAGCUUUACUGUAGCCUGAUAUUGAAAUUCGGCACAGCUUGUACAGGAUAGGUAGGAGCCUUUGAAACGUGAGCGCUAGCUUACGUGGAGGCGCUGGUGGGAUACUACCCUAGCUGUGUUGGCUUUCUAACCCGCACCACUUAUCGUGGUGGGAGACAGUGUCAGGCGGGCAGUUUGACUGGGGCGGUCGCCUCCUAAAAGGUAACGGAGGCGCUCAAAGGUUCCCUCAGAAUGGUUGGAAAUCAUUCAUAGAGUGUAAAGGCAUAAGGGAGCUUGACUGCGAGACCUACAAGUCGAGCAGGGUCGAAAGACGGACUUAGUGAUCCGGUGGUUCCGCAUGGAAGGGCCAUCGCUCAACGGAUAAAAGCUACCCCGGGGAUAACAGGCUUAUCUCCCCCAAGAGUUCACAUCGACGGGGAGGUUUGGCACCUCGAUGUCGGCUCAUCGCAUCCUGGGGCUGUAGUCGGUCCCAAGGGUUGGGCUGUUCGCCCAUUAAAGCGGUACGCGAGCUGGGUUCAGAACGUCGUGAGACAGUUCGGUCCCUAUCCGUCGUGGGCGUAGGAAAUUUGAGAGGAGCUGUCCUUAGUACGAGAGGACCGGGAUGGACAUACCUCUGGUGUACCAGUUGUCGUGCCAACGGCAUAGCUGGGUAGCUAUGUGUGGACGGGAUAAGUGCUGAAAGCAUCUAAGCAUGAAGCCCCCCUCAAGAUGAGAUUUCCCAACUUCGGUUAUAAGAUCCCUCAAAGAUGAUGAGGUUAAUAGGUUCGAGGUGGAAGCAUGGUGACAUGUGGAGCUGACGAAUACUAAUCGAUCGAAGACUUAAUCAA
rnacentral:rRNA from 1 species